AGACGAUUAUUUAAAAGUGCUAGGGUGGGAAAGCUCCUCAAUGAUCUAUUCGAUAAAGUAAGGUAACCAGUGAAAAAAGAACCUAAAUCGAGAGGGCUACAGGGUUGUCGGUGACCACGUACAAUCUUGUUUUAUGCGACGAAAUGUAUGUAAUUUGACAUAAGACCAAUCUAUAUAUUCGAUGACUCAAGAUCAUACCCAGAUUAUAACCAGCGGUGACAUUAUGUAAAUAUAUGACAUAUGGCCGAAAUUAACUUAAAUAAAUGGUGAUUGGCUUAAGAUCUUUGAUAUUACUAUUCAUACACAAAAUUUUAUCUAUGUAUUUUAUCCAUCAGAUCUCUAAACAAACAGCCAGCACUCGGAAUAUAACAUUCCGAGGGCCCAGAACCCACAUGCCUUUACACUGAAUUUCAGCAAGCGACGGCCAAUAUCACAGCCAGUUUAGCCCCUCGACAGAAAUGAGUACAACAAAAAAUAUUUGUAUUAAAAAAAGUCUUUGAAGUUUUAUGGUUCAUCUCAAAGCCUCACUAAAUCUAAAGGAAAUGAAGAUAACAUAAAGUAGUUUGCACCUCUAGCACCGUUGAUCCGGAUAAUCGUUAGUCUCUCAGUUUACUUGGGGCAUGUGUAAUAAAAGAGUUUUAUUUUAGAAAAAUUUGAAAAAUGAAAAUUUAAAAAUAAAUCUAAAUAUUUUUAUAAAUUGAAAAAGCAAUUGUUACCUCAAGUGUUUCAUCCAAAUCGUACAAAUCAUUACUAUCCACAUAUAAGUUCCGAAGCGACGGCAGCUGGAAUAGCUCACUUGGAAUUGGAAAACGAUGACUAAUGAUUUUUUGAUUGCGUUACGAAUGAUAUUUUGCCAACUUGGAGGAAUAAGAGGAACGAACGGAUUUUUUUUAACCAGACAUGCAGUUAACCCUAACUUCCAAAACCAAGUGUACAAAUUUGUCAGCUGUCGGACUAUAAGUUUGUAAGAUAGAGCAUUUUGAGGGAAGCAACUUUUGUUACCUUGGAGAACAUAGAUAAAAAGGAAUUUCGUGUGUUAAUAAAGCAUUGCUUUUUGGAGAAAAAAAUACCGUUGAAGCCAAAGCUUGGCUUGAUAAACAUUAUUCGGACUUUGCACCAGCAAAAUCAACCGUUGAGAAGUGGUUUGCUAAGUUUAGACGAAGUGAAAUGAGCACGGAGAGUGACGCAUGCAAUGGACGCCCCAAAAAGGCUCUCAUCGGCAAAAACAUCAAAAACGUCUACAAAAUAAUUUUGGAUGAUCGCAAAUUGAAGUUGAUCGAGAUAGCUAAGGCUCUAAAGAUAUUAUAUCAAAGGAACGUCUUGGAUAUAUGAUGAUACAUGAAUGUGUGGGUAUGCGAAAGCGCUGUUCAAAGUGGGUACCACGCGAGCUCACAAACUACCAAAAACAAUGAGUUGACGAUUCUGAGCAGUAUUUGAAGCUAUCC